rnacentral:rRNA from 1 species
UGCCAGCCGCCCGGUAAUACGGAGGGGGUUAGCGUUGUUCGGAAUUACUGGGCGUAAAGCGCGCGUAGGCGGAUUAGUCAGUCAGAGGUGAAAUCCCAGGGCUCAACCCUGGAACUGCCUUUGAUACUGCUAGCCUUGAGUUCGAGAGAGGUGAGUGGAAUUCCGAGUGUAGAGGUGAAAUUCGUAGAUAUUCGGAGGAACACCAGUGGCGAAGGCGGCUCACUGGUCCGUUACUGACGCUGAGGCGCGAAAGCGUGGGGAGCAAACGGGAUUAGAUA